GUGAAUCAUCAAAUUUUUGAACGCAAAUUGCACUAUCCUCGGAGAGUAUGCCUGUUUGAGGGUCAGCCUAUAAAAAAUCGACAUCGUUGCUGUUUCGCGGUGGCGUUCGUUGGAAAUUGGGUCAUCUUAAAUCUUUUGGUUUUAAGCGACUUAAAAUUUUUUUUUUGGUUUCAUGCAUGUUUCUAUGUUUUAUUUCUUUACACGUUUAAGGUAUCGAUUUUUAGUAGAGGUGACCAUUAUAUCGGAUCGUGCCCAUAAUUGUUCGUUAACUGACUUCAGACAGGUAAGAGUACCCGUU
rnacentral:misc_RNA from 1 species